rnacentral:rRNA from 1 species
UAACGAAUCUUCCGCAAUGCACGAAAGUGUGACGGAGCGACGCCGCGUGGAGGACGAAGUUCUUCGGAAUGUAAACUCCUGUCAGGGGAAAGAAAGUUCUGAUCUACCCCAGAGGAAGAGGCGGCUAACUCUGUGCCAGCAGCCGCGGUAAUACAGAGGCCUCGAGCGUUAGACGGAAUCACUGGGCUUAAGGCGUGUGUAGGCGGAAGGGUAAGUACCUUGUGAAAUCCCACGGCUUAACCGUGGAACGGCUUGGUAUACUGCUUUUCUUGAGCAAUCUAGGGGCGAGUGGAACAGAUGGUGGAGCGGUGAAAUGCGUAGAUAUCAUCUGGAACGCCAAUGGUGAAGACAACUCGCUGGGGAUUUGCUGACGCUGAGACACGAAAGCCAGGGGAGCGAACGGGAUUAGAUACCCGCGUAGUCCCUGAGCGGGCUGGCAAGGCGCAU